rnacentral:tRNA from 1 species
AUGAUAUUAGUAUAAAAAGUACAAUUACCUUCCAAGUAAAUAGUUUAAAUCUAAGUAUCAUA